AGUGGGCCAAGGGCCGACUUGGCUAGUGAGACAUUGGAGUCUCUCUCCCAGUCCUGGAGAAGGUCCCUUGAAUGCACUUUUGGGGCAGCAUGCGGGUCUUGAAGGGGAAGCCCUGGUGGCUCCACGGUGGGUGGGGCGCGUUCUCACUGUAAGGCAGUGCCCUCCCUGCCUCGCUCCCUGGGCAUUGCCUGUGAGCUCCAGGUGCUCGUGAGCUGAUUGGUCUGCUGCGGUCUGGAGCCAGAAUCUCCUACACUGCACGUGUGGGAUAAUAUUCCGUGUGGUGAUAACAGUCUGCUGGCCUCUGUGACUACCUUGUUUCUACUGGUCUUCAGUAACUGAGUUGGGCACUGGUUUCUGUACCCUAACUCUCUAAGCCAAGUUGCCUACAGGGUUUCCCAAGGGACAGAGAUGUAUUGAAGAUAAAAAUUGGGUUUUAUGGAGAUAGAAUUUAUAGUAUUACGGUAUCAAGGAGUACAUUUGGCCUAUUUAUUUAGCAAACGUGUCUGUGUAAUCUGACAUCAUCGUGGUCUGUUUUUUCCUGUGAGAUGUCAGUCACAUGAUCCUGACUGCAAAUUCACGGCCUACUUUGUGCUCAUCCACUCUGUGCUUGGAACUCUAGGGGGUCUCAAGGCCUUCCCCAAAGAGCUGAAAUACAAUCUACCUGGAGAGAUAAGACAUGCAUGCUUGAAAGGACACUUUUAUGAUAUUGUCCCUUGAGAGGUCAGUGUUGACAGGGAUGGUUAAGGAAGACUUGAUGGAUACUGUGGGGCUUAAACAAGGCAUUAGAGCAAGGGAAGAAUGUACAACAAGUACAGCAGAGAAACGUCGUAAAGGAGUAGCUGAAGGGAGAGCCGAUCAAAGAAUCAGCUGGAAGGAAACCUAAGACACAAGAAGAGUUCAUCACUUGCCUUCAGUCUCUUCUGAGAGUGCUGCUGCUUCUUUAAGAGGAAAAGGAAGAAGACUGCUCAGCGCCACAAGUGACCCGUGCCUCCCAGGAGUCCUCAGGCCCUGGGGACUCUGACUUGAUUACACCCGCAGCUCCUGCCAUUUCUCAUUGGAAGGGACUCCUCCGUGGGGGAGGGUGGAGAUCCAAACCAAAACGAAGAAAAACAGAUGCCCCCAGAAGGAGCCAGUGCGGGCAGCCAGGGCCCAGUGGGUCAGUGGCUGCCCCGACCUGCCUGAGGCUCUGAGCAGGUCCCAGAGCCACUGGUCCUCCACUGCUUACCCUUGGGGCUGCCUGGUUGACUCUCCUUCCUAUUGUUUACAGUGAAGGUGUCAUUCACAAAAACUCAAGGACUACUAUUCUCUCCCCUCCCCUUAGUUUACUUGCUCCUGGUUCUUGCCCCACCCUCAACCCUCUCCAGCAUAAAAGCUAAUGAGCUGAAGGCUUUGUCUGCUGAAGGAGCUUGAGAGGCUGGGGGUGCGGCCAAGAAGGUAGGAGGGAGAUGCAGGCCAAGGCUGGAGGAGAACCUUCUCCGCCCACCAGGUGUGUCUGGCAGUAUGGCUCUCCAUCUUCCUCUGUGCCUGUGCAGCCUCCAUCCCGAGCUGGCCACGGGGUGCAGGUUACUCCCUCCUUCCCUCUUGUGAAGUUACACUGUAGGACACAAGCUGUGAGAAAUCUGCAGUCUACUGUCCCUGUGUGUUGACGUUCUUAGCUUUCUUGACAAGCGAACUCUGUUCUCCAGACAGGAGUAGAACAUUGCAAAUUGUUCUGAGCAAAGGACAAAAAAACCUGACUUUAUUGCACUUUUAGUUGUUUUUUUUUUAAACAAAAAACAAGGCAGAUGCAUAUUGUGUCUGGUUAUAUUGGGAGUUUUACUUUUUUUUCUGUUUUGAGGGGGAUGGGGCCAGCCAAGCCAUUCAGAGAGAACAUGGGUCCAGAGGACAUUCUCAAUGGAAAGAGUUGGGUCUGCAGCACCCAGAAGAGAAGAAGCCAAACUCUGUGUCAUUCUGAGUGAACCCUCAGGUUGGCAAGGAAACAUACUUGAAUUUUCAUUCGUCUUCUCAGCUGCUGAAGAAUGUCCCUUCCAGAGCCUCUUGACCUCAUCAGCCUGCAGUUCGGACAACCUAGCUCUCCAGCACAUGGGAUGAGCCAGCCAAGCCAGACUGUGACAGGAGACAGUUCAUCCCAGAGAAGGAGAUGCUUAAUAAAAAGAAUCUGAAAUAUCUGUUUCCUCCACUGCCAGGGACUUCCAACUAGAUAGCCAUGUGACUUCCUUAGUGACUUGGGGGACAAAAUUAGUGAUGAAACAGCCACCACUGUAUUGCCACUAGUGGACAAGAAGGAGGAAAGUGAUCCUGCCUUCCAACUGCCAGAGGAACCUCAGGAUUUGGCUCAUCAUAGGGCCAGGAAAUAAAAUUGAUCUGUACUGUUUGCCCCAAUAGCUGAGUUACAGCAUUUGGGCUGGCCUGCCUUAUCAGAAACCAAGUACCUGCAAAUCUUCUUCCAGCAGGUCCAUAGCCGCAGGCUUAGGCCUCAGUGUAUGGGGCUAUAGUGAACAGGAGGGUAAGAUUGGUUAGUGCUGGAAAAUUCCUGGGGAAAGGAGACUGAAAUGAAAGGUGUGAAAUUAUCCUCUCACUUGGACUUAGACUCCUUCUAGAUGAGAUGGCCACACAUCUAGAGCCUGUUCUCCCCGGUACACUCUCCAUGUCCAGACACGCUGCCAUGAAGGGUCUUGGUUCCUCAUUCACUGCUUGAAAAGUCGCCAAUGUAUGGAGUUAAUAGAACCUCUCAUGCUUGAUUUUCAUUUGAGAUGAGUGACUUAUCCAAACAGUGACUUCUCAUUCCAGAUGUGAUCGAGGAGAAAGGAUUAAUUACAUCAGAGAACGAGGUCUUCUAUCUGGGGGUAGAGAGAGCUAACCAUGGAGGACAGUGGCUGGUGACCUAGUCUGGGGGUUUUGGGAACACGGAAAUCAUUGCCUCUGGCUUGAGAUGUAGGGCUGUCUUUUGGACUGGAGGAUGCAGACACACUUUCUGGUAGUUGGUAUUUUCUGACAAGUCCCUUGAUGUGUCUUACAUGGAGCAGAGAUAGCGGUAGCGUGGAUCAGAGUUACUGGGCUUCACCUGUGUUCCACUGGUCCUUGGCUAGGAAAUAUCACUUCACUGGCUUCAAAUUUGCCUAGCUUAUAUAAAGAUUGUAAUCUUUCAUUUCUUUAAAAGAAAAUUUCCUAUAAACAGAACAGAAUGGCUGGGAGAUGCAGGGUCACACCGCUUCCCCACAAGAAUUUUCAAUAUUGGGGUUUGCUUCCUUGACAUUAGCUGGUGGUUAAGGCACUGUCACGGAAACUUACAUAGUUUCUCAGUUGGCAUUUGGGUAACUCUUCUCAAUUUGGGUAACUCUAAUUUCCCGUAUAGAAUCUUGAACCUCCACAUCCCUGUGUAGAAAAAGCCUUGCUUCUCAUGGGAGGGCAAGAGGAAAUGGUGGCAAAGUCUGGAGCAUCCCUGGCACCCCUUACUCCACUAAGUGCCUCCCCACUUCCACAAAAAAAGCAAAGGCAGUUACCAGCUUGGCUGCAGGGCAAGCCCUCUUGCAGCUGGGUUUGUGACUUUUUCAGGGUCUUAACUUUGUUUUAAAGGCUCGCUAUUGCAGGAUCGAACCUGAGCAGUUGUGGGGUUCUUCCUAAUGCACUAUUCUCACUCUCUGCCCCCCUCAGAUCUCUUACUAGGUAUUUGAUUUUUCAUAACAAAGGUGAAGAGCCCAAGUCCUUCUGGCAUGCACAGUAAUGGUGAUCCUCUCAGGGCCAUUGGUACUCCAGGGUGGUUCCAGACCCCCGAGAGAGUCUACUGUGAUCUUCCUUUAAAAAAGAAAAAAAAAUUUUUUUUUUUUUUUCUUUUUAAGAAGGAUACCUAAGGAGUAACGUGGCCACAUCAGUUUCAUCCCCAUCAGCACAUCCCAUCAGGCCUCCCUCCUCAGCCCCGCUGCUGUCGUUGAGUAGCUAUAUUCCUCAGCCAGGGCCUCGGGGUUGGGCACUCCCUCCAGCUACCGCCCACCCAAAUCCACUUGCUCUGUCGUCUUUGAGCUUCCUUCACUCCAUAACCGUGAUACCUAGGGAUCUUUUUCUUCAGGAUUGAUGCAGUUGCUGAGUUAGCAUUAAGCACUAACAACAUUAGGGUUUCUCCCAAGCCCUGCAGUCCUUCAGGCAUUGCAUCCUGAGCAGAUUGAGGCAAGCAGGCCAGGAAUCCACCAAGACGUAAGGGAUCCUUCCCUUGUGACCAGAGCAUGGCUGUGUCUGUGCAGUACGGGUUGAUUACUUGCUGUGCAUCCCUUGGCGUUUCCCAGUGCUUUCACUCCAGACUGCUCUGCAAGGAUGUGCAGAGUGUGCCAGCAGCAGCAUGCUUUCAUGUCUGCCUUAAUUAACAUACUCCUGCCAUUUGGGGUCUGUCUAGGAGGAAACGGUCUAGGAAGGUACAAAGUCAGGUGAUGAGGUUGGCCUCCAAUUAAAGCCCCAUUUUUAUUUUGGGAUAUAGGGUGAUGGAAGACAGCAGGAUCCUGAGUUUUCCAGUAGAAGUGUUGAUUGCCUGUUCAUCCUCAGUGAACUCCAAGUUCGUAGAAACAGCCCCUGCCAUUAGCCAGCAGAGGUGUCCAUCGCCUCUAAAGUACCUUCCAACCUGGUUCACUGGAAAUGUACAUUGGGAGUACGUAUUCAGUGUUGGUUCUCAGUGUUAGUAACCACUUCUGCUGUCAGAAAUGAGCGAGGGUGGGGCUUCCCUGGUGGCGCAGUGGUUGAGGGCCCGCCUGCCGAUUCAGGGGACACGGGUUCGUGCCCCAGUCCGGGAGGAUCCCACAUGCCGCGGAGCCUGCGCGUCUGGAGCCUGUGCUCCGCAACGGGAGAGGCCACAGCAGUGAGAGGCCCACGUAACGCCAAAAAAAAAAAAAAAAAAGGAAAUGAGUGAGGGUAAGGUUAUGUCAGAGUGGUUACUAAAGAUCGUAGCCUUAACUUUUUUUAUGCAAAAGAGACAACCUGCUCCCCCUCCCAGUGAGCAGUAUGGCCUGCAUUUUUCAAAAAUAAGUACUUCCAUGGCAGCCUAGAAAGGAUCUCCUCUAAGGAACUUGAUCUUUCUUCUGAUGCAUCUCUCCCAAGUCUGCAUGCCUCAUGUGUCGCAGUCACCUCUUCCAUUUUCAUAUUUAAACUAGUUUUCAUUCCCAGUGAAUUGCCCUGACAACAUUGUCUCCAGUGUCAGAGCCAUGUUAGGGCUAGAAUUUCUCAGAUCGGGAGCUUGCAUUGUCCUACAGCCAACAUUGCCUUUGUCAGGCCACUGCCACCAAUCCACCAUUGCCCCAAGGUGGGCAGAUGAAUUCCAGAAACCCUUAGGGAGCCAGGAUAACUUGGCACCCCAUCUGGAUUGGCCUGAGCAGCAGGUACUUGUCUCUGGGGUUCUUGCUUUUGCCAACUUCAGGGCUCCAGGAAGGUCCCCUCUAGAGGUUGAUGGCCAGUGACUCCCAGUCUUCCCCAUGAUGGGUUGGUAGGAAUCAAAAUGGGAUGCCUGUGGUUUUGUUUUCUUGGGCGUUUGUUUGUUUUUGAUGGGGGAGGGGAGUGAUUUUGUUUCUGAAUAAGAAAAAGAGGAAACCAUGGCUCUUUUGAGGGUUUACAGAGUUUUAAGCAGUGUUUUAGCCACAAAUAAGGAAUCUUGGAAGUCUUUGAUCAAUUAAGCAGUCUUAAAAAUGUUUUUCCUAAUUCCUUUUGCAGGUGACUGAGUGCAAAAGAAUAGGUUUCUCCAUUGUAUUCAGAAUAGUAAGUAGGUUCCCUGGAUAUAGAUGGUAGUGGUUGACAUAUUUCCUCAAAAAGCGACCAGGACGUCCACUCCAGAGUUUGUUUGUAGCUCAGCUUGUAUUACAAAGGAAAAAGUGAACGUGUACUCCAUAUAUUUCUAGUUUGAUUACCAAACUCAGUGUUAUAAAGAAACCUCAGUUCUGUGGACAGAAUUUAUGUUGUUACUUUUCUUUUUUUACUUCUCACAAUCAUCUUUCCAGUGCCAUCACCACCUUCAAAGCAGAGGGUUAUCCAUGGUAAGAAAUGGGGAUGCAGUGCAGUCGUCCCAGUAACACACACAAGAGGACAGCUAUCCUGACUGCCCCUUCCCCGCAAAUCCCCUCUUUCAGAGCAGGUGAGACAUUUUCAGUGUUCCUCUUUAUGAGCUACAGACCAAAUCCCAGGCCAGCCCUUACACCGAAAGCUUUUUUAAGAGGCUUAUCAAUCUGUUAGGAAUGUCUCAGGAAGAUGAGCCAUUUCUUUGGCGGGGGGUGGGGGGGGUUACGGGGGACUGUAUCUACAGAUGGGUGUGUGUGGUUAUAUUUGUAUGCGUGUGUGUGUCUGUGUGUGCACGUGCGUGCCAGCACUCAUCUGUAUGCAUUUCACUUCCAUAAAGACUCACAGCCCAGGUUGCUGGGACCAUGUGUUCCUGAAUAUUCUCGGAAGUAAACAAGAAACAAAUACGUAAUUUUGUUUCAUAAACCCUGGCACUGGUCUGCAAAGCUCAGCUGUGAAAAUGAAACUUGUAGUAUUUUUAAACAUGAAUGUCAAUUUCAAGUGUAUUUGAAACGGUUCCUCCAGGAGAGAGAUUUGUACACCAUUAAGUAGAAACUCCUCUGCAGAGGAAGAAGCCUUCUUUGGAGUAAAUGGAAAUGGGUCUUGAUAUUAUCUCAGAGUAGCCCAUUUCCCAGGGCACCAUGGAAAACACACAUGUGAUCUUUAAGUAUACCUCUUCUCCAAUCUGGGGAGGAAAGGACUCAGUUUGCACCCUUUUUGUAUGUAAAAUAAAAUGUCUUACCUUUCUUGGCUAAUUUUGCUUGUUUGGUUGGUUGGUUUGUCUGCUUUUAAGCUCUCCUGGUUCAUUUGUAACGAAGAAUCCGUCUAGGACUCUUAGUUACAAGGCUCCAGGAAUGAAAAUAAUGCCUGAUACUUUGGCAUUCUUGCGUCAUUCUUUUGGGUUGAACAUUGCCCUCUCCUGUGGGUCACUUUAAAAAUAAAUAUUUCUGGGGUUUCCCUGGUGGCGCAGUGGUUAAGAAUCUGCC